GAAUUCGUCGACAACCUGGUUGAUCCUGCCAGUAGUCAUAUGCUUGUCUCAAAGAUUAAGCCAUGCAUGUCUAAGUACAUACUGAUUAAUAGUGAAGCUGUGAAUGGCUCAUUACAACAGCCGUAGUUUAUUUGAUUCAUAGAGUUACAUGGAUACCUGUGGUAACCUAAGAGCUAAUACGCGCAAUUAUGCCCUGACUUCACAGGAAGGGCGCGGUUAUUAGACCAAAACCAAUCGGGCUUGUCCCGGUUUUUUGGUGACUCUGAAUAACUCUGUAGAUCGCACGGUCCUCGAACCGGCGACUCGUCAUUCAAAUGUCUGCCUUAUCAACUGUCGAUGGUAGUUUAUGCGCCUACCAUGGUUGUAACGGGUAACGGAGAAUAAGGGUUCGACUCCGGAGAGGGAGCCUGAGAAACGGCUACCACAUCCAAGGAAGGCAGCAGGCACGCAAAUUACCCACUCCCAACACGGGGAGGUAGUGACGAAAAAUAACGAGACGGUUCUCUAAGAGGCCCGUCAUCGGAAUGGGUACAAUCUAAAUCCUUUAACGAGGAUCUAUUGGAGGCAAGUCUGGUCCAGCAGCCGCGGUAAUUCCAGCUCCAAUAGCGUACAUUAAAGUUGUUGCGUUUAAAAAGCUCGUAGUUGGAUCUGCGCCCAGGGUUAGCGGUCCCCUAACGGGAGGUACUGCUUUACCCGGGUUUAUCCUCCGGUUUUCCCUUGGUGCUCUUUACCGAGUGCUCUGGGUGACUGGAACUUUUACUUUGAAAAAAUUAGAGUGCUCAAAGCAGGCGGUUAGCCUGAAUAGUGGUGCAUGGAAUAAUGGAAUAGGACUUCGGUUCUAUUUUGUUGGUUUUCGGAACUCGAGGUAAUGAUUAAGAGGGACAGACGGGGGCAUUCGUAUUGCGACGUUAGAGGUGAAAUUCUUGGAUCGUCGCAAGACGUACUAUUGCGAAAGCAUUUGCCAAGAAUGUUUUCAUUAAUCAAGAACGAAAGUUAGAGGUUCGAAGGCGAUCAGAUACCGCCCUAGUUCUAACCGUAAACGAUGCCAGCUAGCGAUCCGCGGGAGUUAAAUAUAUGACUUCGCGGGCAGCUUCCGGGAAACCAAAGCUUUUGGGUUCCGGGGGAAGUAUGGUUGCAAAUCUGAACUUAAAGGAAUUGACGGAAGGGCACCACCAGGAGUGGAGCCUGCGGCUUAAUUUGACUCAACGCGGGGAAACUCACCCGGCCCGGACACCGUAAGGAUUGACAGAUUGAGAGCUCUUUCUUGAUUCGGUGGUUGGUGGUGCAUGGCCGUUCUUAGUUGGUGGAGCGAUUUGUCUGGUUAAUUCCGAUAACGAACGAGACUCUAGCCUACUAAACUAGGCAGUAGAUUUGGAUUGUUUACUGAACUUCUUAGAGGGACAGAGGGUUUCUAGCCCUACGAGAUUGAGCAAUAACAGGUCUGUGAUGCCCUUAGAUGUUCGGGGCCGCACGCGCGCUACACUGAAGGAAUCAACGAGCCUGAAAACCUAGUCCGGAAGGAUUGGGUAACCCGUUGAAACUCCUUCGUGCUUGGGAUAGGGGCUUGCAAUUGUUCCCCUUGAACGAGGAAUUCCUAGUAAAUGUGGGUCAUCAUCUCGCGUUGAUUACGUCCCUGCCCUUUGUACACACCGCCCGUCGCUACUACCGAUUGGAUGGUUUAGUGAGGCCCUUGGACUGGUCCCGAUACGGUCGCAAGACUGCGUCGGGUACCGGGAAGCGGGCCUAACUUGAUCAUUUAGAGGAAGUAAAAGUCGUAACAAGGUUUCCGUAGGUGAACCUGCAGAAGGAUCAAGCUUGGAUCCCGGGAAGCCGAAUUCUGCAGAUAUCCAUC
rnacentral:rRNA from 1 species